rnacentral:tRNA from 1 species
ACCUGGCUGGCUCAGUCGGUGGAGCAUGUGACUCUUGAUCUUGGGGUUGUGAGUUCAAGGCCCAUGUUGGGUG